CUGCCUAGGAAACAUAUGAACAGGUCCUUAUCAGAGGGAUCUUGUUCAUAAUGUCACCAGGUGUCGGCUCCGACCCGAUGAUACAAGGAAACCGUAUACGUCAUAUGCUAGUUGUCUUCAUUCGACAGACGGACCACCAUCCAGUACUAGGCAGUCACUACCACUAACAACCACCAAAACCGCACCCAUCAAAAACCACCAGCACACUGCAAGAUAACCACCUCCACGAUGCCAGCCCUACCGUCCUUUUCUAAAUGACCACAAACAUCUCCAACUUAUCACUUCAACCACCAGACCAGCAUACAGAUGGAUAGUUCAGUAGAGAGCUGUUACAUAGAUUUAUAGUGAGAUAAAUAAACAGGUGGAUAUGUAGGCUGUAAUUAAAAUAAGUAUAAAAAAUAGUCAUUUGGAAAACAUUUAUUGUUAUUAUUAUUAUUCGUGCGUGAUCUUGCUAUACUCAGGCAUGUAGCUUGAAUGUCAGAAGAUUGUCUUGUUUUCGUUGCUACGUAUUUAAUUCUUGUAACCUGCAGACCUACACUGGAUCCAGACAAUUUCUUUUAUCCUUUAAUCCCUUUGCAUUUUACUUAUAUAAUAGACGUGGAACGCACAGACCGCCCCACUACUGUAUCUUUCACCCACCCCUCCUCUACCUAUUCCCUCCCCUUCAGCUAAGAAUAAAUACUAACUACGUAUCAGCCUGAAUCCACCAACAUGCAGUCACUUUCGACGUCGCGAUGCUGGUCCCAGUCGAAUGCGAACGCACCACGUGUCUGUUAGGACGUGAAGCAGAUCGCGAUCAUGGCAUUAGCAGUUGUGAUCGCAGGCAGUGUGUGUCGAGAGUUGUUUGUGAGAGCAGUUAGGGGCUUUGAUGCUACGCUUCCUGUCUACUCAUUGCUCGGUUCCUUCCUUUAUAUCUUACACCUUCUCUACCCAUCCUAGCAUCUUCACCCACCUUGGCUCCAUCACAGAGUGGAAUCAAUAGUGAGCAGAGGUAGCCCCUGGCAGGGUGCAGCAAACAGGUCUUCAUCCAGCCCCAGAGAAAGGCAAGACAACAAGCGAAAGGAAAUGGAAUAGAAAAACGCGUGUUUGUAUGAAUGACACUCUGUCACCGAUAAGUGAAUCCUCAAGUCAAAGACACUAUUUGGCAUUCCAAGAGAAGCCGUUGAUUCUUGCCGUGUGCAUUUUUAGCAGUCUCCUGCGACACCAGAGGAGUUAUGGAUGACGCUCCGCUGACGUGUCCAACAGGCCGGAUAAUUUAUGAGCCAAUUGAAUUCUCUCGUCCGAAUGUUGCUGAUAGAUGGCGAUGAGUGGUCUGCUUCACGAUCCGACAGUCUUGAUCCCAGGAAGGAAGCCAACGCUGCCCACAGGCGGUCCCAGUGUCGGCCUCAAAAGCCUCUGACACCGCCGAGAAUCGAAUCCCGGUUAUCCAACCCAGAGAAACUUUAAAGUAUGGUAUUUCCAAUAGUCGCCACGGCACUUCGCUUCACUGAUUUGUGGUUGGUUAUUCAUCGCAGGAUUGCCUUGCCAUCUACUGGACUGUUUGGAAAUAUAAAAUGAGGAGUACUGGCCGCUGAAGUUGAUCGUGAAGGUAUCGUGUAAAUUACGGUGAAAAAGAUUUAGUUUUUGGCGUGUGAAGUGUUAAAAUGGUUGUUAAUGUGUUCUGUAAAUUUAUUUAGAGUGAUUUGUUGUUUAACCCAAGCCUUGUUUGGCCUUGUUAAGCCAAUAUCAGAGUGGGAUAAUGUAAGUUUUUGCUGUGUCAUCAUCUUCCACAAGAGUCAGAAUUCAACACCACACUCGCCUAGAGAGACAUUUUUAGGUGAGUCACGCACAGUUCUGCGCCGUAAACGUUGAAAGACUUAUUUAGUUUCUUAUAUUGACAGAGAACUUCAGUAAUUUUUUAUUGGUUCUUGUAGACAGAUAGUAGGAUAAUACCUGUUGGUUCUAACUUGAGACUGGUGGCUUACACAACUAUACAAAAAUUAGUAUCUUCAGAACUAACCUUGUGAUUCGUAUGAAAAACUUCCGGCCAGUAUUGUAUUUUGUAGUAAUUACAAGUAUGUAGCUCACUCUAG